CCUACGGGUGGCAGCAGUGGGGAAUAUUGGACAAUGGGCGAAAGCCUGAUCCAGCCAUGCCGCGUGUGUGAAGAAGGCCUUCGGGUUGUAAAGCACUUUCAGUGGGGAAGAAAGCCUUGGGGCUAAUACCCUCGAGGAAGGACAUCACCCACAGAAGAAGCACCGGCUAACUCCGUGCCAGCAGCCGCGGUAAUACGGAGGGUGCGAGCGUUAAUCGGAAUUACUGGGCGUAAAGCGCGCGUAGGCGGUCUGAUAAGCCGGUUGUGAAAGCCCCGGGCUCAACCUGGGAACGGCAUCCGGAACUGUCAGGCUAGAGUGCAGGAGAGGAAGGUAGAAUUCCCGGUGUAGCGGUGAAAUGCGUAGAGAUCGGGAGGAAUACCAGUGGCGAAGGCGGCCUUCUGGACUGACACUGACGCUGAGGUGCGAAAGCGUGGGUAGCAAACAGGAUUAGAACCCCAGUAGUC
rnacentral:rRNA from 1 species